GUGAACGCUGGCGGUAGGCCUAACCCAUGCCAGUCGAACGGCAGCACAGUAAGAGCUUGCUCUUACGGGUGGCGAGUGGCGGACGGGUGAGGAAUACAUCGGAAUCUACUUUUUCGUGGGGGAUAACGUAGGGAAACUUACGCUAAUACCGCAUACGACCUACGGGUGAAAGCAGGGGAUCUUCGGACCUUGCGCGAUUGAAUGGGCCGAUGUCGGAUUAGCUAGUUGGCGGGGUAAAGGCCCACCAAGGCGACGAUCCGUAGCUGGUCUGAGAGGAUGAUCAGCCACACUGGAACUGAGACACGGUCCAGACUCCUACGGGAGGCAGCAGUGGGGAAUAUUGGACAAUGGGCGCAAGCCUGAUCCAGCCAUACCGCGUGGGUGAAGAAGGCCUUCGGGUUGUAAAGCCCUUUUGUUGGGAAAGAAAAGCAGCAGGUUAAUACCCCGCUGUUCUGACGGUACCCAAAGAAUAAGCACCGGCUAACUUCGUG
rnacentral:rRNA from 1 species